AGUGAACGCUGGCGGUAGGCCUAACACAUGCAAGUCGAACGGCAGCACAGUAAGAGCUUGCUCUUACGGGUGGCGAGUGGCGGACGGGUGAGGAAUACAUCGGAAUCUACUUUUUCGUGGGGGAUAACGUAGGGAAACUUACGCUCAUACCGCAUACGACCUACGGGUGAAAGCAGGAGAUCUUCGGACCUUGCGCGAUUGAAUGAGCCGAUGUCGGAUUAGCUAGUUGGCGGGGUAAAGGCCCACCAAGGCGACGAUCCGUAGCUGUUCUGAGAGGAUGAUCAGCCACACUGGAACUGAGACACGGUCCAGACUCCUACGGGAGGCAGCAGUGGGGAAUAUUGGACAAUGGGCGCAAGCCUGAUCCAGCCAUACCGCGUGGGUGAAGAAGGCCUUCGGGUUGGAAAGCCCUUUUGUUGGGAAAGAAAAGCAGCAGGUUAAUACCCCGCUGUUCUGACGGUACCCAAAGAAUAAGCACCGGCCAACUUCGUG
rnacentral:rRNA from 1 species